rnacentral:rRNA from 1 species
UACGGGGGGGGCAAGCGUUGUUCGGAAUUACUGGGCGUAAAGGGUCUGUAGGUGGCCAACUAAGUCAUACGUGAAAUCCCUCAGCUUAACUGGGGAACUGCGUCUGAUACUGGUUGGCUUGAGUGCAGGAGAGGAACGCGGAAUUCCAGGUGUAGCGGUGAAAUGCGUAGAUAUCUGGAGGAACACCGGUGGCGAAGGCGGCGUUCUGGACUGCAACUGACACUGAAAGACGAAAGCCAGGGGAGCAAACGGG